GGUGUGGCCUUUGUGGGUGGCUUCAGCUACGCAGAUGUCCUGGGCUCUGCCAAAGGUCAGUGUGUAGACUACUGCAUCUGCCAUUUCCACGUUCUUUGGUAAAAUGUCUUUGGCUUCUUCUGCCCAGGCUGUGGCUGACUUGUUGCCCCACAAAGUCAGGCAGAGUGCUCUGGACCAAAGGCCAGCAGAAGGAGAAUGUCUGAAAUGAGGUGGCUGGCUUUCCAGAGCUAUAGAAGCCGAGAGGGCAUGGUGCAUCUGAACAGUUGGCUGCUCUUCAACUUGAUCAGAUUGUCCUGUUCUCUGGAAAGAUGGUUCAGCACUAGAUCAAGAGAGGGCAAAAGGUCAAGCUUUUUAUGUGUGAACUCUUUUCCUUUUUUUCAUAAGAUACGAUUUCAUGAAGCGUAAGCUGCUCAGACUCAAAGUAGCCUUGGAAGACAUGUUAUCUUAGCCUUUCAAGUAUUGGGAUUUACAUGUGUGACAUCUUACUGUUGAAUCUUAGACAACUACAGAGCAUUAAAAGUAUACAUUUUGGGGCUGGAGAGAUGGCUCAGCGGUUAAGAGCACUGACUGCUCUUCCAGAGGUCCUGAGUUCAAUUCCCAGCAACCACAUGGUGGCUCACAACCAUCUGUAAUGGGACCUGAUGCCCUCUUCUGGUGUGUCUGAAGACAGCCACAGUAUACUCAUAUACAAAUAAAUAAAAUAAAUUUUUUUAAAAAAAGUAUACAUUUUGACUUAGCAUAAAGAAAUUCAUGGAUCCCUGUGCAGCCUGAUUGAAGCAGAUCAGGCUGUUUCUUCCCUCGGGUUUGUCCCAGGGUCUGAAGAGAAGAACUGACUCUAGAAUAGAGGGCUGUUAAUUCCCUUCACUCCCUGCUUCUGCUUUUCUUGGGCCUUUUACAUCUCACCCUGGCUUACCUGUUCUUCCUAGGUUGGGCAGCUGCAGUGACCUUCAAUCCACAGGCCAGGGAAGAGCUGGGCCGCUUCCGCAGGCGGCCAGACACCUUCAGCCUGGGCGUGUGUAAUGG
rnacentral:lncRNA from 1 species